UCCCUCGGGGCUAAAAAGCAUACCCUAGAUUAAUAGGGCUUGAAUGGAAGUACACUUCUUUGUUUUAUUUGCAUUUUGUUAAUUUUUAAUUAAGUACUAAGUACAGUUCAUGAUAUACAUUGUUUUUUAAAAAAGUAUACUAUAUAAUAAAAAAUUAAGGGCAUAUGCAAAGCAGUGAUGGGCUUUCCAUAAUGCAAGGGAUUGGCAGGAGGGUUCUUCACUCAUAGCAUGGAAGAGAAGAAUACGAACAAGUCUUUUACUAUUAGUAUUAAUUUCUUUAAAAUAAUAAUAAUAAUUUGUUCUCCGGUUCCUGCCUUCCAUUCACCUAUAUAAAGCCAUGCCUCUUCUUCAAAACCCAUGAGUUGCUUAAAUGAGUUAUCAUAAAGCUUGUGAUUGUAGAAGCUCUCCCCCUUCCUUUCUCUGUUCGCUCAUCAUGAGAUUUCUUUUUCCGAAACAGUCACUUUUACCACCUCUCCCUCCCUCCCUCUCUCUCCCUCUCACAGUUUUCACUCUCAACCCUCUAAUUUUGAUGGCCAUUUCAACUUGAACCAGUGCUAUCCCUUCCAAACUCGGUUGUGACUUUGAGGAUGGUGUGAUGAUUUGGAGAAGGGUUACAUGGAGUACUCACAAACCAUGAAUCUAUAUCUAUGUUAAAGUUGCAUAGAUCUGCAUAAAAUUCUUCACCUAAGCAUUGAUGAAUCUCUCUGUGAAUUUCUUAUCUAGACAUCUGCUUUUUCUCUAACCAUCCGCUGCAUCUUCAAUUUGUUUGUCGCAUUUUUUUUUUGUCUAGAUGAUAAUUAAUAGCUAAGAGAGCUUUCUUCAGUCCACUCAUGGGUGGUAGUAGGAUUUAAUUAGCUGCCGACUCAUUCAUCCAAAUACUGAGUUAAAGGACAAGGAGAUUACCCAGUAAAUGAGUGAAUGAUGCGGGAGACAAAUUGAAUCCUAAGCUUCCUGUACUUGGACUGAAGGGAGCUCCCUUUCCUUUUAUACUAUGUAUCUUAUACUUGUUUCUUGUGUUUAAUAUAUAUCUGAUGUUUGGCUGGCGGCAAAUGCUGUGUGUCUAUAUGUAUAUAUAUUCUUCCAGACAGCAUGAAAUCAAGUUUUUGUUCAGGUGAGCUUUCUUAAGAAAACUGCCUUUUAGGGAUAGACACAAGGAAUUUUAGGGUUUUGAUCAAGCUGCAGCUGUUUCUUUGUUAAAGGCAACAACGCAUGAGGGGCAGAAGAUUUUACAAGCUCACGCUCCACGACAUUAGCUUCUUGGGUCUUGCUCUUAAACUGCAACAAGUUCCUAGACGGAUAAAAAUGUCCCCCAGAAGUUGAAUUACUGAAAUAUCCUCAAUGGAGGUUCUUACCCGUGGUUCAUGGAAUAUCCACUUUAAUUUGCAAAAAUAACAUGAUGUCUAUUUUUCCUACUAAUUUUGACCUGUUUAUUUACGAGUAAACAAAUGUAUCCACUAAGAAACUUUAGAGCUCUCCUCAGCUGGAGAUUUUAUUUUGUACACUUGUAAGUUUGGAACGUUUAUAUCAUGUUAUUUUCUUUUUCA